rnacentral:rRNA from 1 species
AUUCCAGCUCCAAGAGCGUAUAUUAAAGUUGCUGCGGUUAAAAAGCUCGUAGUUGGAUUUCAGUCUAGGAAGGUUAACUCGCCGAAAGGUUGUACGUUGAUUUUCCUCAGACUUCGUCAGAAGCUCGUGCUGCACUUAACUGUGUGGUACGAUGUUCUGACCUUUUACCUUGAGGAAAGUAGAGUGUUUCAGGCAGGCUACCCAGCUUGAAUACAUUAGCAUGGAAUAAUGAAAUCGGUUCGAUUUCGUUGGUUCCAGAGCUGAGGUGAUGAUCAAUAGGAACAGGCGAAGGUAUUCGUACUUGAGAGUGAGGAGUGAAAUCCGAUGAUCUCUUAAAGAAAGCAUUUGUCAAGGAUGUUUUCAUUG